AUCUAACAAGAGAACUACUCAAACAUGGCUAAUCAAUUCAUAACAUUAAUAAGGUAUAAAAACUGCAUAGAUAAAUAAAUAGAUAUCAAUGGAGUUCCAAUCACAAAUCUCUUUGAAUCUUCUCUCCCAUCUACUAAAAAUCCUAGAAAACCUUUGCUGUGAAAGUAAUAAAACAAAAAAGCACACUUUCCUCUAACAUGUUGGCAAAGCUUAUAUAAUUAGGUUAAAACUCGUCAGGGGUAAUCUUGUAAAUAGGUGAACACUUGGGCUCUAAGUCGGUUGAGACCAAACGGGCUUUCUGCGCGCUUCGCUGUCGAUCGAUGCUACGAUGUGAACAUCGAUCGACUAUUCUUCCUCAAUGUCGACCGAUG
rnacentral:lncRNA from 1 species